GCUCCUCUUUCCAUUCCAGGGGAACCCGAGCCGGGACGGAAGACGGCGCCUCUCAAACCAAAGAGAACACGGCGGGCACAGUCCUGCGACAAGCUGGAGUCUGAUCGAGGACGGAACCCGGGAUCCGGAGGUGCCAGUGACUUCCCCCUGCCUGACCCACCUCCUCCUCCCCCUCUACUCGACCCGCCCGGCUGGAAAUCUCGCCCCGCUCUUCCUCCUCCUCCUCCUUCUCAUCUCUUUUCAGCAGACCGGCAUGGAGCAGGAAAUCCCCGAACUGGGGCAGAGUGACGGAGAGACCCCCUUCCUGGAGGGGAUAUCGAGUCGAAUCUCUGAAAACUUCCCACCGUCUGGCCGGAAGUUCGAGGGGGAGGGGCAAACCAUGGGGAGGGUCUCCUCCAAGCUGCUCCCCCUACCCCAAAAAAGAGGUUCCAAAAAGUUCCUAGUGGAAUUCUUUCAUUCGUUCCUUCCUUCCAUUUGUGCCUCUUCUCUGACUUUUGGUCAAAAG